AGUUUGCUGAAAGCAAACACCGGCUGUGGCCACACACUUAUCUCAGGAGGGGGAAACUCUGAAACAAGAGCAAUGUUUCAAGGCUGGAAAGAAUCCCUUUUGUCUUCCAUUGCUCUUCAAGCUGCACGUUGAUUUGGCACAGCCUGAUUUUUUUCGUAGCGGGGCAGGGCCACAGGCGCAGCUUCUGUGAGAAGCUGCUGGAAGCUUUCAUCAUGUCUGACAGAGCCAAUCUCUGGUGGAUCUGAAGAUGGACAUGCAAUUAGAGAGGUUGAUAAUGCCUCUGUGAUGGCAUAUUUAAGAAGAAAAUCAAAACAGUGCACUCACAGCUUUGCCGUAGGGGUGGGAAGCCCUGCGGCCGCCACUGCAGCCAUCACCAUCCCAGCAUGGCCUGUGGCGAUCUGCGGCCACCGCCACGCUGGCACGGCCUGCAGCCAGCCCUGCCUGCCUGCCCCUGCCAGCCGUGCUGCGGGCAAAAGGGCAGUGAUGGCAUCUUCUCCUUCCCAGCACCCCGCGUGAGGAGAGGCGUUAACCAGUGUCGUGGCAGCCGCCACUGCCUGUGCAAUGGUGGCAGGGCCGCACGGCCUGCAGAGGAAACACGGCAAGAGACCUCUGGCAUGGAACCUAGAUGAGAUCAACUUCUCGGCACUGAGGGACCUUGCAAGAAUCUUGGAAUUAGUGGAACAGGUUGGUACCUACAAUCAGCAGUUUUCUCUAAUCGGAGAAGAGGAAGAAGUGAGAGCAUGUGCAGGAAACAACAUGGGGCCACCAAGGUCAGUGGAAAAGAAAGAGAGAGACGAGGUGCUCAAAGUGUUAGAGAUUGAUUUAUCCAGCACAGUCCAAUCAAAGAGGCACCAUUUAAAAAGUGAUUUCAUGGUAAUGGUGGAUGAGGUGCAGCUGUACUGGCCCAUCCAGCUCUGAGAGGGGAACACCUGACGUGGCAAUACAUGAAGUUAUUGGAAACAUCUCUAGCUUUGCCUUUCAAAGUUUCACAAAAGAUUCAGGCACAGUGACUGUGAAAAAUGUUGAUGUACAAAGAGUCUGUGACUGUGCUUGCUCCUUGUCCCACUGUGUGAGAAACCCCAUCCCUCCUCCUGGUCCAGGACUGGUUCUAACUCUGCUGAUACUGGAAAUGUGACUGGUUCCAAGUCUGCUGAUACUGGAAAUGUGACUGGUUCUAACUUCAUGUUGCUUGGGACCAGCAUUUGUCUGACAACUGUUACUACAGACCAAGCCAGGAAAAACAGGGAUGGAACAUUAGAAGCCGUGUAAAAUGGAAGAAGCUUUUGGAGUGUCAAACAGGCAUGAAACAGAAAUCUAGUCUGUGAUUUGAAGGCUGCUGCAGGUGUUUAACCAUCUGUAUCUCUCCAAGAAGUGAACGUUGCUAAGUGACCAGUACUACUUAUCCAAUACUGAAUCAACCAAACUGUUUAUUCCUGCCUCUUUCUGUUGCUGAGACCAGUUGGGUCCCAAAUAUGGUCUGUGAGUCAUGAUGCACUCCAGCCAAAACUGUGCUUGGCACACCACUCCAGCCAAUAGUUCCCCCAUAGAUUUUCUUGGAGGUUGCUGUGAAAUUCAUGGCAAGCAUAGCUGGCUCUCAUUAUGCUAAACAGUCCUUCCACAAACACCUGAAGGCAGCAAAUGGCUCAGUAUGGGAUGUCAGUGAGGGAGCUGUGUUCUGUGCUUCCCCCUGGGAAGUGUGUGAUGAUGUGCUGUUGCCAACCAGCAAAGGCUGUUUUGUCAAGGAAUAUUGAUAGAGAAAGGUCUGACCUGUUCACCAUCAGCUCCAUCCAUAUUAUAAAUGCUAAGGAAUACAGCUGCAAUAAGAGCUUUAUAUCUGUAUUCCCAAUGUCACAGCAUGCAUUACAGGAGUGCUUUGCAUUGGCAGUCGAGUGCAGUACACAAAUGAAGAAGAAAUGAGCAUCUGACUCUGCUCCAAGCUGUGCCAUGGACAAACGACCUUAUGCUCUGCAUGGGGAGUAGGAAUGUAACAACACCUGCCUUGCCAGAGCAGCUUGAGAAGCUGUGUAAAGAGUAGAACAUCAAUGCCCCUGCCUGGUAACAUCCAACAUGGGUUUGCUUUAUAAAACUAUAAUAAUCAUGUAUCUAUAUUUUUAUGAGGUGAUAAGGUGUACCUUUCCCAUCAAGUGACUGUAAAAGCUGAUGUAAUGGAGUUCAGGAUUUCUUCUCUUUCUGUGCAGUUUUGAGUGAGGAUUUUUUUUUUAUCACUUUGCAGUGCAUUGGGGGAUUGUCUUUAAACUGGAGGUGCAGGUAUUUACAGUGCAAACCAGGUUUCAGUUAUUCAGAGAGGAUAUAGGUGUGCUCUAUGGGAAAGAUCUUGUGUAGCAGUGGGGUUUGGGAAAGAAUUAGGGCUGGGAUGAGUGAGCUGGGGCAUUCUGGAGAAGAUGGAGUUGAAGACAGCCCCAGGAACGAGUUACAUCCUCAUGCAAGGAAUGCUGAUUUCCAUUCUUUAAGCUGGAAUCAUACAAUAUACAUUCUUAGCCUGUGUUCAACCUGUCAUGAGGCUAUUUGGUAAUUGCACUUGUCAGUUAUUCCAACCUGUCAUUUAUUAACCUACUAGGUCCAUUUCCAGCCUGGUUUGGUGAGGCACAUUUGGGGUUAUGCUCAAGUGCUUUAAAUUAACAGCUUCUCAUAAGAGACUCCUGAAUUUUCUUGAAGUUGUAGCCUCUCUUCUUGAUUUUGUCCAAUUGCUUCCAUGCAUGUUCUUUUCCCUUAAUAUUUUUUCAGUCUCCUAGUGUUUAUAUCAUUUAGCAGACUACUUAGUAUUCACAUGAAGUGCCUAUAAAGAAUAUGGCUGAUGUGGGAGUAUCCUCUAAUAAAAUAUACUAGACAAGGAGAACUCUGACAAGUGUGCAAAACAAGAGUGGUGGACUUACAAUCUCUAAUUAUGAAAAACAGUAGAAAGUAGAUUAUAGGAGCCACUGUACCUCAGACCCCAAAUGGUGACUUUGUAUGGAGAUUUGCUAAGUAUUUUGAAGAUUGAACCUCCCACAGUGGCUGUCUGUAACCUCCACCAGAGCAGAGGGGAGUUCACCCUCUCUCCAGCAUCAAAAUAACAUUUGCCCCUCAGGCUCAUACCCUGCAGAAAGUGCCAGAGUGGGCAGCAUGUGGUUGAGAGUGCAACAUGCUGAACCCUGAGAGCAAAGCACGAGGCAGCCUCCUCACCCUUCAGUUAAUGAGCAAAUAGGGCAACAUCUCCUCCAAAUGCACAUUAUAAAUCUAAUUAGUGAUAUGUACAAAAUUGAUUUGCAUACCAAAAGGAAGAAAAACUCCUUCAGAGAAAUGCUAGAAUUACUAGCUUUGGAAAAAUAAAAGAUUAUUCUCUAAAGUAAAUCACAUGUUUUCUUCUGCAAUUAGCUGAGUGUUUUAAAUUGUUUAUCCUAAGCCUUUCAACAUCUUUUAAAGUAUCAAGUGUCUGACUCUGUACUUGGCAUCAAAAUACAGCUUGCUUCAAAUCAAAAGAGUUUUAAGAUUCUGUUUAGAUCCACCAAGUUGUUCCGAUUAAGCAAAUCUUUAGGCUGAUGUUAUGUCAAGAUAAACUGGCAAAAACCAAACCAAUACACUUAUUUUUUAUAUUCCUCUAUUUUAUACAGCAUACAAGGACAGAAAAUCUGUCAUUUUGUAUGUCCAUGAGGUAUCAAACACCUUUUUAUAAUUCAUAAAUAAUCAAUAGUAGGAGUACUUGUUAAAGUUGCAUUUGCAAGCAGAAAUCCUUGGCAUUCACAUCAUGUCUUGCAUGACUAAGUGCUUUAGAGAUUUUAAUUAGAGUUGAUUUGAAUCAGUGAAACAAUAUAGAGAGAGAUCUGUUUAACAGUCCACAGUGAAUAAUGAUAAUACUAAAAUUGUACAUACCGGUAUUUCAAAUUGCAUUUGUAGGAAUUACAUUCAUGGUCCAUGGCUAUUAAUAGUCUUUACUGGACUGAACACUGCUCUGAGUUCCAGUUCUAUGUCAUUAAAACCUGUCACUGAAAAUAAGUGGUUUUAGAUCUGUAGCUGUUUGUUUUAUGCUCAAAGAGCUAUGGAAUGUUUAACAUAUGUUGGAAUAAGUAAUUUGUAAUCCAACAGGCAUUCAGUGUUUUAAAGCAAAUGUGUGGCAGAAAUAUGUCUAAUCUAAUUACAAGGAACUCAGAAUUCAGCAGAACUGCAGAUUCAAGCAGUAGCUCUGGAAAGAUAUGCAGUAAAUUGCUUGAGAUUUAUUUUUCCUUCUAAACUUUUGGGUGUGGCUGAAGUCUGUGUGUUUGACAGCCUUGGACAGCAGGGUCCUACUCUCUGGUAAGCACUCUGGGGAGCUAUUGUCAUAUAAAUAUUUAGAGGUAUGACUUGAUUCAAAUUGUUUCAAUAUUAAAUUCUUUCUUGAAUAUAGAGCUCCUUUUAAACCUUUCUUCAAACCUCACAACUGAAACUGCUGCAUAGCAAGUGUGCCUCAAAAUUCCCAGUGGCCAAGUUCUUCCAAAGCUUAAUGGACUUUCAAUAAGAUGUUGUGAUUUCAGAGGGAAAAUGAUCAUUUAGCCUGUAGUAUGGUAGACAAAAACUGUUUUAUUUAGAAAUUAGCAAGUCUGUGUGUAUUCCUGUACAUGUGUGUAUACAAUAAUCCUUCAAAUAUCGAUGAAAGCACAGUCUAUCAAAUGUUCCUGUUCUACCCUGCAAAAUAAUAAUCCUCAUUCCAACACAAUUUCAUAUACAAUCAUUGCUUUCCCCACAUAUCCAUCACAUUUAGUAUGUAGUUUCUAGUUUGAAUGGAGUACUUGGGAUCUGGAAAUUCAGGCAAAUAAUUUCUAUUGUUUCUCACCAAUAUGUCUGUGCAUUGUUGCAAGAAAUGUAGGCAGUUUUCUGGCAGGAAAGAUCAUUUUCUAGCUUUGCUAGAAAAAAUUGUUGCUAGGGUAUGUGACUGUUUAUUCAGGGAUCUCGCUGGAAGUUAAUUUUAUCAGAUCAUAUCUGUGAGGAAGACUGAAGAAGACUGAGCAUUUCUCUUCAAAAAGGCCAAACAAAAAGCACAAGUACCAAGCCCACCUGCAUCACAUCCAUAUUUAUUUGUCACAGUGAUGCCAAAGCCAGGAAGCAGCCAAUGCCUGAGCCAUCCAUCAGCUGGACACAUCAUGUAUUUAUCAUUAGCAGGAAAAUGGGGAUUGAUGGCUGUUGAGUACAGUUAUCAAGUCUUCCACUGCUCAUAUCUUUGUGAAAGGGAAGAACCACUUUCUCAAGUCUGUUAUAAUGGUGACCAUGACCAUGGCCUGGCUUUUGAAAUGGCAGGGAAAAUAACAAGAUAUUGCUGCUUUGCAUGUUUAGGAGGCAUAACCUGGCCUGUACAAAGGGAGGGAGAAAGCAAAUUAGCUAAAAUUAGAUUGCUGUUAUUCUGACUGCCUUAGCAUGUCUAAUCCUCCAUGAACAGCAUUCAUUUUUAUAUAACAAGCUUACUGGGAAAUAUAUGCAUUAAACAUGACUUUUGUCCUUCUGCAAGCAGGGGCAGUGUCCAGAGCAGAGUCUGUGCAGCAAUACUAUUUGUCAAAGCCACUUCUGAAGCAAAGCUCUGUAUCACGUGCUAUCUUUUAUUUUCUCUUAGUUCUUCUUAAUUCAUCAAGGGAAAGUACAAGUAUUUCUAAAACCAUAAUUACUUUACUAUACAUGACUACCUAAAAUACAUAUUGUGGUGAGAAUAAAGCUCGGUGGCUGGGGACUAUCUAAGACCAUAGGAACAGUAAACAAGCUCAUCCAAUAUAUUGUCAACAGGAGACAAAUAUUUAUAGUGAAAUGGCUUUCAGGGUAGAAACUAUUGGAUGCUCUUUUUUUUUAUUUGUUCUCUGUCAGAGGAAUGAUUUAAAGUGAACCUCAACUCACAUUUCAAAUAAUAGAUGACAGGAGCUCAUCCAUUUCAAUAUAAUUCAUUGUACUGCAUAUGUAUGGGGGAGAUUUCAAAAGAAAACCAAGGAGUGUUAUUUCCAAGUGAGCCACUACAUUUUUAGAUGUAGUAUUUCGUCCUCACUUUCCUUCUAUUAAGGUUAUUGGUUUCCCUGAAGAGAAAACUGCAUUUUUGUGUUGAAUAUUUCUCUUUGUACCUUUUUUGUCUGAUGCCAGCUCAAGAGUGAGGGGUGCAGGGAAUGGUUUAAUAUUCUUAAUGUUUGACAGAUUAAUUUUUUUUGUUUGUUGUUUCUUUUGUUGCUCUUCUCAAGCAUUAGUUUCCUACUUUAUUUGCCUGGUGUACAAUUCACUUUCCUGAAGAAUUAUCAGACCUCUGAUUUCCAUCCUUCCACAUGUCUGAAACACAGAACUUCAAUUCUCUUCAAUAUUAUAAACCUGAAAAAUUCAACUAAUAUCAUUUAUCUC